UGGUGUGAAUUGCAGAAUCCCGCGAACCAUCGAGUCUUUGAACGCAAGUUGCGCCCGAAGCCAUUAGGUUGAGGGCACGCCUGCCUGGGCGUCUCAC
rnacentral:rRNA from 1 species